rnacentral:rRNA from 1 species
AUACGUAGGGUGCGAGCGUUAAUCGGAAUUACUGGGCGUAAAGCGUGCGCAGGCGGUUUUGUAAGACAGGCGUGAAAUCCCCGAGCUCAACUUGGGAAUGGCGCUUGUGACUGCAAGGCUAGAGUAUGUCAGAGGGGGGUAGAAUUCCACGUGUAGCAGUGAAAUGCGUAGAGAUGUGGAGGAAUACCGAUGGCGAAGGCAGCCCCCUGGGACGUCACUGACGCUCAUGCACGAAAGCGUGGGGAGCAAACAGGAUUAGAUACCCUGGUAGUCCACGCUGUAAACGAUGAGUGUUAGGUGUAGGGGGCUUGAAGCUUUCUGUGCCGCAGUAAACGCAAUAAACACUCCGCCUGGGGAGUACGGUCGCAAGACUAAA